CAGAGUUGCAAAACUCCUAAACCCACUGUGAAUCUACCUAUCGUUCCUUCAGCAGGCGGCCCCCGGGGGGGCUUCGCCGCAAGGCGCCUGCUGAAGGACAACCAAACUCUGUUACUUAACUGUUCUCUGAGCCACUAUACAAAAGUCA
rnacentral:misc_RNA from 1 species